rnacentral:ncRNA from 1 species
UAGAUAAUGCAUGUCGACUUUUUAAGUCCCCUGCCAAAUCCCAAGGCUCAACCUUGGACAGGCAGUGGAAACUAAUAAACUGGAGUACAACAGAGGUAGUGAGAAUUUGUGGUGGAGCAGUGAAAUGCGUAAAGAUAAAAAAGAACACUAACAAUGAAAGCAUUCUACUAGGCCGACAUUAACAUUGAGAGAUGAAAGCUAAGGGAGAGAAUGAGAUUAGAUAGCCCAGUAAUCCUAGCCGUAAACAAUGGAUACUAGGUGCUAGUUUGGCAUAUUCCAACCAUUAAAUAUAUAUUAAUGUAGACA